rnacentral:rRNA from 1 species
UACGUAGGGUGCGAGCGUUUGUCCGGAAUUAUUGGGCGUAAAGAGCUCGUAGGCGGUUUGUCGCGUCUGCUGUGAAAACUCGGGGCUUAACCCCGGGCCUGCAGUGGGUACGGGGCAGACUAGAGUGCGGUAGGGGAGACUGGAAUUCCUGGUGUAGCGGUGAAAUGCGCAGAUAUCAGGAAGAACACCAACGGCGAAGGCAGCUCGCUGGGACGGUACUGACGCUGAGACGCGAAAGCGUGGGGAGCGAACAGG